GGGCAUUAUCCAGUAAGUGCUUGAACUGAAUCCCUGAAAGCACGGGUUAAACCACACAGUGGCACUCUGGGAGGAAGGGAGGAGCAAGACCAGAAGCAAAUUCUGAUGUUGCAGCAGUCUGUCAGCCCAGCAGUGAAGGAGAGGGAAUCAGCCAGGACCAGCUCCGGCCCCGCAUGUCCCAGGCUGACACGGAGCAGGACGAAGGAGCUCACUGGACAUGGGAGUGCUCAGGCUGUAAAUGCACUGCUGCAUUUCUUCUCCAGCUCUGCAAACGAUUCCUUUUCCUCAGCCAUGUGCUACUGGGGGGUUUACAGCUAUUCCCACCCCACUCAACUUUCUGCACAGCAAACUCCUGCUUUUCACCUUCAGUCUGACUUUGUAAUCCAUGGUUGGUUUCAAAUCAGCUUUUCAGCAUGGUAAUGAAUGGAUUAACUUUCUGCUUUCUGAUGAGUAAUAGGAAAAAUGUUUCUGAAUUAUCAAAAAAUAAUUGGAAUUAAAAUUGUAAAUGGUUUCUACAAGGGAAGUUUUUGUAAUUAGUUGAAUCUGUGUGAUGGAAGCUAUUAUAAAUAACAAAAAAAUGUGUUUACCUAAUCACUGGGAAAGUGCACAUUAGCUCUCAAUUAGAAGUCCCUCAUGGCUCUACUACAAACUUUGGACACAAAAUAAUUUGUUUCAUGCUUCCUUUAGCAGGCAAAGGAAACUCCAUCAGUUCCGUUUGUGUAUGUCCACUACUGUGAAGGCGGCUGGAGCUGAUUUGUCAAAUUCCCAGUGAUUUUUCUCAGCAGGUCCCUGUGACUGCCCAGAACCUUGUCCUGAGCCCAGCCCACAGACUCCAAGAGCCAAAUCAGUCUGUGCCAUUCCAGUGCCAGUCCAGUACAGAACCUGGGUACUACUGGAGGGACAAGGGAAGGGUAUAAGCAGGUUCAAGCACACCUGGGUGCAGAGGGAUGGUUCCAUGAGCUAGGUUGGGUUUUGCUCUGAGUUGUCUGGCAAAUUGCUCUCAUGUGACAGAGUGAAACCUUGUCAUUGUCUCUCCUUCCACACAGAAUGAGGCUACCACAGGCAGAAAGGGGCUUUCCUUCUAGACACACCUUCUCUUUCAACACAUCCCAUCUGUUCUCCCAGAGAAGUCUGGGUAACAAACUUAGUAUCUGGUGAUUAAGUCACACUAGAACAGAUAUUAUUUAAUACAUUUGGCCCAUUUUGUGAAUAGCAAAUGCAGAUUUAUCCUUGUCGUGCUAAAUACCUGAUUGAACCCACUGUGUUAAACUGAGCAGAAAUGAAGAUUUUGUUAUGGUUGCAGAGAUAAAUUCAUAAUGUGAGUGUUGAGUUCUUUUCAGGAUCCAGUUUGUAUGAUGAAAAUCCCCUUAAAUGACUGAAAACAGGAAAACACUAUUUAACAAAUGAAAAUAUGCUCUACCAUU
rnacentral:lncRNA from 1 species